GUAAGUGAAAUUCAGUUCCAGGGUGGGACUCACAAGACAUUGCCUUACCCUUCAGGAAGCUCUUCUUCUAGGAGAUAUUACUUAAUAAUAAUAAUAAUAAUAAUAAUAAAAGUGGCUAUUUAUUUAGGACAUACACUGCCCUGUCAACUUUAUAAAAUAAACCUUUCACUACACAUAGGUUCCUCAGUAUAAGGAAAUGGAAGCUCAGAGAAGGUAAAUGAUAAAUAAAGGGCAGCCAGUCUUCCCGUAGAGGUUGGAAAAAUUCUCCGCGGGCAACUGACCCUCCCCUGGGCUCCAGGCCAUGUUCGGUCUGGAAGCCCUGCAGGUGGAAUUGCUUGGAGGUGUUCAUUUCCUCUUUCCGAAUGUAUGAGUCAAGUCCCCAGGUAGGCUAGAACCACUUUGAGGGCAAGGACAGAAACUUCUACUUCUUUGCCUCCCCAAAUACUAGCUUGGUCUCUUGAAAAGAGUCAAUAUAUACUUAGGGAUGAUUGAAUUAUUGAUUUCUAAAUGGGCAGUCCUGGGUGUUGGUAUGGUCAGGAGGAAACAGAGAGAUCCCACGGAGGAGAAGUCUGUGUGUCACUUCCAGAAGUCCUCAGGGCGGCUGAGGAUCAUUCUACACUCCUGCUUUAAUCAUGCUCAGGCCGUCUGAGUCUGCACCUGGAAGAUUAGCCCUAAGCUAACUGCUGCCAAUCCUCCUCUUUGCACUGAGGAACACUGGCCGUGAUCUAACAUCCGUGCCCAUCUUUCUCUACUUUAUAUGUGGGAUGCCUACCACAGCAUGGUUUGCCAAGCAGUGCCAUGUCCACACCCAGGAUCCAAACCGGCGAACACCGGGCCACUGAAGCGGAACGUGCAAACCUAACCUCUGGGCCAUCGGGCCGGCCCCCAUACCAGCUAGUUUUUAUGGAGCGCUAUAGCAGAUGGUGUGGAUGCCUCAUCUCUGACCUCACCUCCAGCCACAGGGAACAGCUUCUGUGCACACUGGAAACUUCUUAUCUUAAGUGUCCAAGUCUCUUUGUUUCUCUUCUUGCAACCAAAAAAGUUUGUUCAGCUCAUGUGCAAGGCUGCUAGAAGUGCUGAAAAUUAAUGCUCUAGGGUCAACUCUUAAGCAACGAGGGCUGAAAGUCAGUGAAUAAAUACGCCGCUUCACCAUCCCUUGGUCGGAUAAUUCUGAAGGAUGCUUCUCAGAGGGUCUUCAGCAGGACUGAGCCCCAGCUGCCCACAGUGGCAAUCAGCUCACCGAUGCACACUUCAUUGGCAUUCCUCCCUCCCCUGCCUUGCUUCUCCCGCUUUUGUUUCUUGGGAUCAUCUUCUCAAUAAAAUACUUAACCCAGGAUUGCCUCAGGCUUUUCUUUCCAAGGAAUCCAGAGGUAGGUGAGCACAUUGUGACUAAGGCACCAUGUUAGAACAGAGAAACUCUCAAAGAUCUGGUAAUGGAGACAGAGAGGACUAAGAAAAAAUUCAUCACCAGCAGAAUGUGCCC
rnacentral:lncRNA from 1 species